AACGAACGCUGGCGGCAUGCCUAACACAUGCAAGUCGAACGAGACCUUCGGGUCUAGUGGCGCACGGGUGCGUAACGCGUGGGAACCUGCCCUUAGGUUCGGAAUAACUCCCCGAAAGGGGUGCUAAUACCGGAUAAUGUCUUCGGACCAAAGAUCUAUCGCCUUUGGAUGGGCCCGCGUUGGAUUAGCUAGUUGGUAGGGUAAAAGCCUACCAAGGCGACGAUCCAUAGCUGGUCUGAGAGGAUGAUCAGCCACACUGGGACUGAGACACGGCCCAGACUCCUACGGGAGGGAGCAGUGGAGAAUAUUGGACAAGGGGCGAAAGCCUGAUCCAGCAAUGCCGCGUAAGAGAUGAAGGCCUUAGGAUUGUAAAGCUCUUUUACCCGGGAUGAUAAUGACAGUACCGGGAGAAUAAGCUCCGGCUAACUACGUG
rnacentral:rRNA from 1 species